GAGGGUGCAUCUCAGUGGUAGAGUGCAUGCCUAGCAUGCACAAGGUCCUGGGUUCAAUCCCCAGUACCUCCA
rfam:Camelus ferus unplaced genomic scaffold scaffold318, whole genome shotgun sequence.